UACGUAGGGAGCAAGCGUUGUCCGGAAUCAUUGGGCGUAAAGCGCGCGUAGGUGGCUUCGUAAGUCCGUUGUGAAAGUCAAAGGCUCAACCUUUGAAAGCCGAUGGAUACUGCGGAGCUAGAGUACGGAAGAGGCGAGUGGAAUUCCUGGUGUAGCGGUGGAAUGCGCAGAUAUCAGGAGGAACACCAAUAGCGAAGGCAGCUCGCUAGGACGUUACUGACACUGAGGCGCGAAAGCGUGGGGAGCGAACAGG
rnacentral:rRNA from 1 species